UACGGGGGGAGCAAGCGUUGUUCGGAUUUACUGGGCGUAAAGGGCGGGUAGGCGGCCACUGCAAGUCGGUUGUGAAAUCUCCGGGCUUAACUCGGAAAGGUCAAUCGAUACUGCAGGGCUAGAGUGCAGAAGGGCAACUGGAAUUCUCGGUGUAGCGGUGAAAUGCGUAGAUAUCGAGAGGAACACCUGCGGCGAAGGCGGGUUGCUGGCUGACACUGACGCUGAACUGCGAAGCUAGGGAGCGAACGGG
rnacentral:rRNA from 1 species